GCAGGCCUAACACAUGCAAGUCGAGCGGUAGCACAGAGAGCUUGCUCUCGGGUGACGAGCGGCGGACGGGUGAGUAAUGUCUGGGAAACUGCCUGAUGGAGGGGGAUAACUACUGGAAACGGUAGCUAAUACCGCAUAACGUCGCAAGACCAAAGUGGGGGACCUUCGGGCCUCAUGCCAUCAGAUGUGCCCAGAUGGGAUUAGCUAGUAGGUGGGGUAACGGCUCACCUAGGCGACGAUCCCUAGCUGGUCUGAGAGGAUGACCAGCCACACUGGAACUGAGACACGGUCCAGACUCCUACGGGAGGCAGCAGUGGGGAAUAUUGCACAAUGGGCGCAAGCCUGAUGCAGCCAUGCCGCGUGUGUGAAGAAGGCCUUCGGGUUGUAAAGCACUUUCAGCGGGGAGGAAGGCGUUAAGGUUAAUAACCUUGGCGAUUGACGUUACCCGCAGAAGAAGCACCGGCUAACUCCGUGCCAGCAGCCGCGGUAAUACGGAGGGUGCAAGCGUUAAUCGGAAUUACUGGGCGUAAAGCGCACGCAGGCGGUCUGUCAAGUCGGAUGUGAAAUCCCCGGGCUCAACCUGGGAACUGCAUUCGAAACUGGCAGGCUAGAGUCUUGUAGAGGGGGGUAGAAUUCCAGGUGUAGCGGUGAAAUGCGUAGAGAUCUGGAGGAAUACCGGUGGCGAAGGCGGCCCCCUGGACAAAGACUGACGCUCAGGUGCGAAAGCGUGGGGAGCAAACAGGAUUAGAUACCCUGGUAGUCCACGCCGUAAACGAUGUCGAUUGGAGGUUGUGCCCUUGAGGCGUGGCUUCCGGAGCUAACGCGUUAAAUCGACCGCCUGGGGAGUACGGCCGCAAGGUUAAAACUCAAAUGAAUUGACGGGGGCCCGCACAAGCGGUGGAGCAUGUGGUUUAAUUCGAUGCAACGCGAAGAACCUUACCUGGUCUUGACAUCCACAGAACUUUCCAGAGAUGGAUUGGUGCCUUCGGGAACUGUGAGACAGGUGCUGCAUGGCUGUCGUCAGCUCGUGUUGUGAAAUGUUGGGUUAAGUCCCGCAACGAGCGCAACCCUUAUCCUUUGUUGCCAGCGGUCCGGCCGGGAACUCAAAGGAGACUGCCAGUGAUAAACUGGAGGAAGGUGGGGAUGACGUCAAGUCAUCAUGGCCCUUACGACCAGGGCUACACACGUGCUACAAUGGCAUAUACAAAGAGAAGCGACCUCGCGAGAGCAAGCGGACCUCAUAAAGUAUGUCGUAGUCCGGAUUGGAGUCUGCAACUCGACUCCAUGAAGUCGGAAUCGCUAGUAAUCGUAGAUCAGAAUGCUACGGUGAAUACGUUCCCGGGCCUUGUACAC
rnacentral:rRNA from 1 species